CAAGCCUAUGUGCAAGCAUCUUUGGAAGCACUUGGUUUGGAGGAAGUAGCUGAAACUGUUGCUCAGAGACAUUCGCCCGGGGAAUUGCCUGCACGAGUCUCCUGUCAGCCCUCGGUUUCCCCACAGGGGCACCCGGGGUUUCUACCCUCAGCGACCACAUGGCACGGCUCACAACCACCAGUAACAAUGCCAGUUCUAGGGGAAAAUCCAAUGCCCUCUUGUGGAUCCUUCAGGUGCUGGAAAGACCUGCUUCCGGCUGCUCCCUGAUAGGACACAACGCAGCUGCCCUUCGGUGAUUAGGAAAGACUUCUGCUGUCUGGCAUCCUGGCAUUUCUCAGCCUCCCCUCCCCGCUGGCCAGGGGCUUUCCCAGAGCCCAGCCCUCUCUGAGGGGAGAUGGACGAGAAGUUAGGAGGUAGUAGAGGAAGAAAAGACAGUUUCCUCCUCACAGAAAGUGAGUCCCGAGACCUGUCACCUCAGGACUGCACCUUCUCCAGGCAGGAGGACUUACACUGUUCUGAAGAUCCCUGUAGAUGUCCCAAAGCCACUCAGAAUCUGCCUUACAGCAAUCUGUUCACCCAUCUCGAGAACCUGUGUGGCCUUAGCAAUGUGUGGAAAGAGAUAAACUCAAACUCUCCUAGCAAUUAUUUCCGGAUGAAGGGAUUAUGAAUGGUCCUGUUGUCCCCAGAGUUUUCUGAGUUUCUCCUUUCCAAAAGAAAUGUGUUUUGCAUCUUUUAAAUUUAAAAUAUAUAUAUAUAUAUAUGAAAUAUUCAUGUAUCC